CAGUAGCCGCGGUAAUACGGAGGGAGCUAGCGUUGUUCGGAAUUACUGGGCGUAAAGCGUACGUAGGCGGUUAUUCAAGUCAGAGGUGAAAGCCCGGGGCUCAACCCCGGAACUGCCUUUGAAACUAGAUGACUGGAAUCUUGGAGAGGUCAGUGGAAUUCCGAGUGUAGAGGUGAAAUUCGUAGAUAUUCGGAAGAACACCAGUGGCGAAGGCGACUGACUGGACAAGUAUUGACGCUGAGGUGCGAAAGCGUGGGGAGCAAACAGGAUUAGAUACCCCGGUAGUCCCUGUCUCUUAUAC
rnacentral:rRNA from 1 species